UUUUGUAUUUAAAAUCAUCCUUUUGAAUAACAGAUUACGGCACAUUAUUCGUUAAGGGAAUUGAAAAGUCUUCCAGAUAUGACUUUACACUUUACAGAACUUCUGGCAGUUUUUUGUGGAUUUCUUCUAAUUUGUAAUGCCAAGAAAUUAUCGCCCUUAGAGAUGGCCAUAAGAAGCAAUCUUCCAGAUGGUCAGUCCUUCAAGAUGUUUCUGGAGGUUUGUGAGGCUUGUGGGGAACUCUAUGGAUCAGCCCUAACACACUUCUGCUUGAUCGAACGUUCUCUUAACACAUAUGCCAACUGCCUAUUAGCCGUGGGAUUUAAACGUUAAUAGGAUUGUUGGAUUAACAACUCAAAACCUGCUAGUCAUUAAAGACACAGGCCAAAUACCAAAAUCAAUUAUUUAAAUGGAAUUUAACAUUUCUUAAUCUUUACAUGAAAUAAAAAAAUGGUUACUUAUUCUUGGUCAGUCUGUACAAAUUCAAACUUCUUAAGAAAAUUAAUGUAGAAAAAGACAGUAUUGUAAUAAAUUCAAAGACUGUAAAAUCAAAUAAUCAAGCAUAAAGAUUGCUCACUAAAUGCAUCGUUAUUUGUUUUAACAAUAAAAGCAUUUUGAAAAGGA